UUCUUGAAUGUCCGUUUCUAUUUACAGAUAGAUAAAUUACUCUGUUGUGAAUAGGCUGUUCUAGCUAAAUUAUGCCUACCUUUAGUAGUGAAAUAUUAUCACAAGGGUUGCCCAAGAGUAGGACCACGGGAUAACUAGGCUCCCUUCAGUGCGGUACCUUUCUGACAGGGUCCUUGAAGCAACGCCUACUUCAAUACAAGCCUGGGCCCUAAGCUCUACGCAGAAAAAGAGAUCGCAGGCUUUCAGAGCUGGGCACUAAGGAACACACAGACCUAAUAUUCAACUGUUGCUACACGGUCUGUCCACUUUUCUGUCUGCCAGAAGGAAGUUGAGUAGCGAUCAUUCGUUCAACAUCGUUGAAUCUUCUUCAAUAUCAUCAGCUACUCUGGUCAUUGCAACGCUACGUUUAACAUUUCCCGCGCUGCAGAUGAAUCUAGCAGACGUCCUUUUGCCGCCCCUAUUCUGCCUGCAGUUCAAUUCUUCGUAAAAUUCCUCCAAUCAGCUCAGCCCGAACGAAUAUGAAAGAGAUUUACCUGACACCUACCUGGUACUAUCGAACCACUUCCAUCAAUGAGAGCGUACGACUGUUUCAAAAAAUCAACACAAAUGGGGCAAUACGUGGCAGAUAAGCGUUCAAAUAGUUUCAUUCCUCGAGGGCCUACUUUUAGUAAUAGGAUUAAUAGGUGUCACUUGAACCGAUUUUAUUCAGGCACAAACACAAAAAAUCAUUAGAGAUUGAACAUUUGAUAUACUCAGUGAGUCUGGCGGCCUUUGGUUAUUUCAAAGCAGGUUAUUCUCGUUUCCUGCUCUCGAUUGCUUUAGAGACCGAAAAGUCUGCUGUCCCUAUCCGUUGUUGAUAAAGCCGCAAGUAAUC